UACGUAGGUGACCAGCGUUGUCCGGAUUUACUGGGCGUAAAGAGCGCGCAGGCGGUCGUUCAAGUCGAGUGUGAAAGCCCCCGGCUCAACUGGGGAGGGUCAUUCGAUACUGAUCGGCUUGAGGGCAGGAGAGGCUCGCGGAAUUCCCAGUGUAGAGGUGAAAUUCGUAGAUAUUGGGAAGAACACCGGUGGCGAAGGCGGCGAGCUGGCCUGUUACUGACGCUGAGGCGCGACAGCGUGGGGAGCAAACAGG
rnacentral:rRNA from 1 species